UGUCAGCCAUCUCAAUUGUCAGAGAAGGUUUAUUUUUUUCUGGAAUCGGAAUUGAUCGAGGACUAGUUUGUAUCCGAAUGCAGUAAUUGUUUAUAAUACGACAGCUGGACUGCUUCGGUGUUUUCUGGCUCAGGUUUUGCUGCCGCUGAAGAUCGUUCGGCGCACCGCGUACUGCGGCUUCUGUUUGUGCGAGACUGCUGACAAUGUUUGGCAUCGAGAUCAUCGCAGCCCUGAUUGGCGUCGGCGGAAUUGCCGCGGCCUAUUUCAUUAUUUCCUACAGUCUCCGCGAAAAGACUUACGAAGAGGCUCUGGCUGAGCAGCGCGGUGGUCGUGGCGAUGCUGCAAAGGCGCUGAAAAAGGACAAGCUCACGAAAAAACCGAAGAAGAAGGUCACAAGCGACGGCGGGAGUAGUGACGCAGGAUCUCCUGUAAAAGAGCGGAAAAUCCCAACUGUAGCCAAAGAAAAGCACACAAAAGAAGCAGAAAAACCAAAAGAUGGCCCGGUAGCCGCUGCACACAUUCCCGAAAAAAUUAAGCAUCGUCCGGAUGAGCUGGAAACGGUCGCUGGUGAGGGAAAAGUCAAACCAGCUGGGAAAAUCCCAUCUGCGCCCGCCGCCAAGAAAACGGAGAAAAAGGUAGAAAAUGAUCACCGCAAGCCUGAUGAAACCUAUGCGGAGGCCGUUAAGCUUCAUGCGGAUAAUAUACCUGUGGAGAAAAAGCAAGAACAAGUUGGAAAAGCGAAGGAGCAACAAGAGGGUGCUGUAAAGACAAAGGAGCACAAACAGGAGAGUGGUAAGAAGGAACGCGACACUGCGACGGCGACGCAGGUUAAAAGUGCUCCUGUGGAGCAUGAAGCUCCCAAGAAAACCAAGACCGAGGUACGAAGUGAGAAACCUGUGAAGCAGGACACACGCGGAGCGCACAAGGAAGACGCCAAGAAGGCUGUUGCACCUGCUGUCAAUGGACUUACUUCCGGCUCUGUGUAUCAGGAGGUUUUGGGAUUGUUGAAUUCCAUCCCAUUAUCGGACGCAGAGACUCAGAAACUGUUCCAGAUUUUGAUUGAUAAACAGAGUGAACGUCAUACGGAAUGGGUUCAGCUGGGGAAAAGCAAACAAGUCGAUCCUUCUACGAUUGCAAAGCGAUUAAUUGCGGACAGAGAGCGAGAGCUCGUGGAAGAGAAAGAAUUAAACAAAGCUUUGGCUGACCAGUUACGAGAUAUGAAGAACUUGUUGAAUGCUGAAAAGUCGCGUCUGCGCGAAGUAAACGAUGUCGCUCGUGUAACGGCAGAGCGCGUGCCGACUCUGGAAACGGAAGUGAAAAAUUUGACUGGUCGAUUGAAGCAAGGACAGGACAAGCACGCCGUGGAGAUUACGCAGAUGACUCAGAAACUCCAGGAAGCCGAAUCCCGAGCGGCGAUGAAAAUCAAGCAUUUAGAGGAGCGACUGCAUGAACACAGCCAACAUUCAGUGGUCCAUGUCCAAAACGGAAACGGGGAAUUGCGAGGUGAACUGGAAACCCUGCGCGCUGAACGCGACCGUCUGCUGCAGGAGGUGAACCAUAAUCGCAGUCAAACCCAACAUCUUGAACAGCAGAUUAAAGAUCUACAACACGAAAAAGAACAAAUUCAGUCGCAGGAUAACCAGUCGCACGACUCUGAUGAUGCAAUGCGUGAGGAACUUGACCGUCUGCGCCAGAGUGCCGCCGAAACGGAAACCCAAGUGCGUAGUUACAACGAGCUGGAAGAGAAAUAUACCGAGAAGGUGUCGAGCUUGCAGCGCUUACGGGAGGAACUUGAAAGUUUGAGGGGCCACUCUGCAGAACAAAGCCAGAACGAUGGAAACCGACAGGAGGAAGUCGAUAAAUUGCGUCAGAGGAUAUCUCAGCUUGAAAACGCUCUCACGGAAAGUGAAUCAAAACAUCACGAGACUGCGAAACAUGCGCGGGAUGAAGGAUUUGAACACGCAAAGAACCAGUACGAGCCGGAAGUUCACAAAGCUGACAAAGCGCAUCGAGAAAUGUUGUCUAGAUUGCUGCCUCAUGUGAAUGUUGACCCUUCUUUGAAUCGUGGGGAUUGGUUAGCGCAGUUUGAAGGUUCAGCUCGCAGUUCGCUUCAGUCUGCUGAUAAAUCCGAUGAGGUGGGUGAACUUAGAAGGCAGUUGGAUGAACUGAAAGGAGCCCACGAAGCUGCCGAACGCUAUCGGGUAGCACUGAAUCAGACUGAGGAGAAAUUGCGCUCUGUGGAGCGUAGUGUGGAGUCAGAAGAGGAAAAGUGGGAAUUGGUUGAGAAAAAAGCUUUGGAUUAUGAAGAUAAAUGUAAAAAUUUGGAAACUCAGUUGUCGGAGGUGGUCAGUGAGAAGGAGAAUGUUCAUAAACUUCUGGAAGAACGUUCCUCUUCGAUCACUGAGAUGGAACACCGUCUGCGCGAAAAUGAAGAGCGUCUGCGCGCCUUUUCUGCCGUGGAGAGCAGACUGAACAGCCUUCAAGAGGAAGCCGAAAGAAUGAAAGCGGAUCUGGGCGAGACACGCCGCCAUAAAGAUGAACUGCUGUCUGAGGUGACGUCACUGCGAGAGAACUUGAGUGAAGCGCAGCGGCUUCGUAGCGAGCAUGAAGAACGGAUUGAUAGCUUAUUGGCGGAAGUCAAUGAACGACGAGUGUCGUCUGGUGAUACGAAUGACCUCCGAAGGGAAGUGCAGGAUUUGCGUAAUUCCCUUGACUUUGAACGGGAUAAUGCCCGGAAAUUGGCUCAAGAAGUGAUACGCUCCAAAAGCUUGAUUCAAAGCGGUUUGGAUGCGCUGCGGAAAGAAGAGGAUACGGUUUUGAGACUCCAGCAGGCUUUGGAGUCCUACCAGCGUGGUGUCAAUGGCACUGAUGGUGGGGGAGACCGCAUUAUUCAUGACACAGCGCACCGGUAGAAGUGACAGUGAAGGGGACCGCGGUAUCGUGCGUAAGAAGCGGAAGCGGUUGUCGAAGCGCAGUUUUUUGAAAGCCUUCUUAUGCGGUACCUGAAGAACUGCGAUACGAUUAAUCCGGCGCCUCGGAAUAUUUUUGUGAAUUGUGACUGUGUGGGUUCCCAGCGGAAGUAGAUCGUCCAUUUAUGCAUCGAGUCCGUCGUGUCUUUUCUACCACAGCCCGAUUAUAACCUCCUUUUAAUCCUCAUUGGGGUGUUUUUAUAAAUAUAUUUAUUUGGAUUUGUACUGCUGGUUUAUUGCUAGUGAGACAGAGAGGAGGAUUUAUUCAUUCCGUUUAUUGUUAAUGGUCCUAGUAUGCUCAGUUCAUGUUUCAUUAGGCUGUUUUUGGUCACAGUUUGUUUGUUUUUUAGAAAGACUGGUUGGGUGCGUUAAUUUAAUUAUUAUUCUGUUUUUACGGUCGCUUUUACCUCGUGAAUGUGUAAAUGAGAAUGCUAUUUGAGAGUUAUGCUUUACUUGUUUUUAUCUCUUUUUAACUGUGCACAAACAAAAUGAAUUGCAAAAUGGUAA